GACGAACGCUGGCAGCGUGCUUAACACAUGCAAGUCGAACGAAGUGGCGAACGGGUGAGUAACGCGUAAUCAACCUGCCCUUCAGAGGGGGAAACCAGUUGGAAACGCCUGCUAAUAACGCCUCAUGCUCGAGGGGCUUGCGUCUGAUUGGAUAGGUGGAGGGGUAAGGGCCCACAAAGGCGAUGAUCAGUAGCCCGUCUGAGAGGAUGAACGGCCACAUUGGGACUGAGACACGGCCCAGACUCCUACGGGAGGAAGCAGUGGGGAAUCUUACGCAAUGGACGAAAGUCUGACGGUGCAACGCCGCGUGAGUGAUGACGGCCUUCGGGUUGUAAAGCUCUGUUAAUCGGGACGCGGUACCGGAAUAGAAAGCCACGGCUAACUACGUGCCAGCAGCCGCGGUAAUUC
rnacentral:rRNA from 1 species